rnacentral:rRNA from 1 species
CUUGGUCAUUUAGAGGAAGUAAAAGUCGUAACAAGGUUUCCGUAGGUGAACCUGCGGAAGGAUCAUCAACAAAUCCAAAACUUUGACCAUACACCUGUGUGAACCAGAAGAGAAAAAGCCCUUCUGGAACGAAAGUUCUUGAAGAAGCUUUUCCCUUUUCUAUUUUUCCAAACCCAGAAUUUUCUUGUGACUGAUUGUUUUUACGUCUCGAAAGAGAUACAACCAAAAACAACUUUUAACAAUGGAUCUCUUGGUUCUCGCAACGAUGAAGAACGCAGCGAAAUGCGAUAGCUAAUGUGAAUUGCAGAAUUCCGUGAAUCAUCAAGUCUUUGAACGCACUUUGCGCUUCUAGGCAUUCCUGGGAGCACGCUUGUCUGAGUAUCAUUAAAUCUUAUCAUUCAAUCAAAUGACUGAAGAAAGUCAUUUUUCAGGUUGUUUAUGAAUGGAUGUGAAGGUCUUGGGUGGAUUUGUUUUCGCUCAAGUCCUUUUAAAUUCAGAGAAAGAGAAGUCUCUAAACAGCGGCUGUCCUGACAAAAGGUUUUUUUGUCUGGGUUGACCCGACUUCCAUGAACAACGAUGCGUUGAUUUGUGUCUUUUUUAGUUCAAAAGAGACCAAUUUUGGCCAUCGGUUUUCAGUAAUGGAGGUGGUAUGGUUUUCUCGGCGGAUUAAUCGGCCAGUGUGCUGUUCUGAAAAAAUCUUUCUACUACGAGUAUACCGAAGAGGAAGCAAUUCUUCUUUGACCACAUGAUCUCAGAUCAAGCGAGACUACCCGCUGAACUUAAGCAUAUUAAUAAGCGGAGGAAAAGAAACUAACAAGGAUUCCCCUAGUAACGGCGAGUGAAGCGGGAAAAGCUCAAAUUUUAAAUCUGGGAGCAAUCCCCGAAUUGUAGUUUAUAGAUGCGUUUUCGGUAACGUCCUGGGUAUAAGUUCUUUGGAACAGGGCAUCAUAGAGGGUGAGAAUCCCGUUUAUGACCCGGGAUGCGUUGCUAUGUGAUACGUUAUCUAAGAGUCGGGUUGUUUGGGACUGCAGCCCAAAAUGGGUGGUAAAUUUCAUCUAAAGCUAAAUAUGGGCGAGAAACCGAUAGCGAACAAGUACCGUGAGGGAAAGAUGAAAAGCACCUUGAGAAGGGAGUCAAAUAGUACGUGAAAUUGUUAAAAGGGAAACGUUUGGAACUAGUGAUUGUUGUCUUUUGUUCAGUUUGGCCUGUCGGCUCUGCGGCGGUGGAUGAGGGUUAAACCCAUUGCUGUCGUAUCAAGUCGGUUGGUCAGGUGCACUCAAGGGAUGACUAGUCAACAUGAGUUUCGGACGCCAGAUACGUCCCGCAGGAAGGUAGGUUACUUCGGUGACUGUUAUAGCCUGUGGGUACCAUGGUGUCUGAGACUAAGGCGUUGCAGUGUAUAGCGGGCUUGUUGUUUGGCUUUUGCGCAGUCGGAUGCUCUACUUGUAGGUCGCUGGCUGUGUGGGGGCACGACGGUGAGUCUUCGUACACUCAAGAUGUUGACGAAAUGGUUCCAACCGACCCGUCUUGAAACACGGACC